AGAGUAGAGGUCGCGUGCUUCAAGAGUAGCUUGCCGGAUGUGUUCAGGUGCAGAGGAAGGUGAGGAAAAGGGGAGAACGCCGAAAGGUACAGUGCCUGGGGCUGUGCGCUUGGGCAUACAGUUAAGAGCUGUAUGACUCUCAUCAAAAAUGGAUGGGGAGCUCUCUG
rnacentral:ncRNA from 1 species